GCAGUCGCCACGGUAAUACAGAGGGUGCGAGCGUUAAUCGGAUUUACUGGGCGUAAAGCGUGCGUAGGCGGCUUCUUAAGUCGGAUGUGAAAUCCCUGAGCUUAACUUAGGAAUUGCAUUCGAUACUGGGAAGCUAGAGUAUGGGAGAGGAUGGUAGAAUUCCAGGUGUAGCGGUGAAAUGCGUAGAGAUCUGGAGGAAUACCGAUGGCGAAGGCAGCCAUCUGGCCUAAUACUGACGCUGAGGUACGAAAGCAUGGGGAGCAAACAGGAUUAGAUACCCCGGUAGUCCCUGUCUCUUAUAC
rnacentral:rRNA from 1 species